GAUGAACGCUGGCGGCGUGCUUAACACAUGCAAGUCGAACGAUGAAGCCCAGCUUGCUGGGUGGAUUAGUGGCGAACGGGUGAGUAACACGUGAGUAACCUGCCCUUGACUCUGGGAUAAGCCUGGGAAACUGGGUCUAAUACUGGAUAUGACUUCUCAUCGCAUGGUGGGGGGUGGAAAGAUUUAUUGGUCUUGGAUGGACUCGCGGCCUAUCAGCUUGUUGGUGGGGUAAUGGCUCACCAAGGCGACGACGGGUAGCCGGCCUGAGAGGGUGACCGGCCACACUGGGACUGAGACACGGCCCAGACUCCUACGGGAGGCAGCAGUGGGGAAUAUUGCACAAUGGGCGCAAGCCUGAUGCAGCGACGCCGCGUGAGGGAUGACGGCCUUCGGGUUGUAAACCUCUUUCAGUAGGGAAGAAGCGAGAGUGACGGUACCUGCAGAAGAAGCGCCGGCUAACUACGUG
rnacentral:rRNA from 1 species